AGAAUGAACGCUGGCGGCGUGUUUAAGACAUGCAAGUCGCACGGGAAUAUUCUGGUAUUUAUAUUAGGAUGUUUCAGUGGCGCACGGGUGAGUAACAUGUGAAUCACAUGCCCUUCAGUGGGGAAUAGCCCAGGGAAACUUGGAUUAAUACCCCAUGGUAUCGCAGGAUUAAAGGUGGCCGGCAACGGCUGCCGCUGAAGGAUUGGUUCGCACCCUAUCAGCUUGUGGUGAGGUAACGGCUCACCAAGGCUACGACGGGUACCUGGUCUGAGAGGACGAUCAGGCACACUGGAACUGAGACACGGUCCAGACACCUACGGGUGGCAGCAGUCGAGAAUAAUUCACAAUGGGGCAACCCGUGAUGGUGCAACGCCGCGUGGAGGAUGACGGUCCUAGGAUUAGUAAACUCCUUGUCAGUCCGGAGAAACGACCUUGAACGGUUAAUACGCCGGGU
rnacentral:rRNA from 1 species